rnacentral:misc_RNA from 1 species
UACGUGCGUAUGUCCUUUUUGUUGUUUCGCGAGCAUCUCAAUUCCUUGGCACCCUCGCCCUGCUGCGCUGCCGCUGCCCCACCCCGCCGCCCUUGUCCAUCGGCCCCCCUCUCUGCACGCCUCUCUUCUCCGCCAGCAUAUCUUCCCCUGCUGGUUUUGCUUGUCACAAUGCGCCAAAGGAUCGCUUCCUCUGUACCCCCUUCGCCGUCACUGAAGCCGUGUUUCAAACCGCAAAUUAUUUACUCCAAUGAGACGUCUGAGCGCGUGGGGCGCGCCAUAAAUGCCACCAUGGGCGCCGUCAACACUAACCUGCACAACGCCUCCAGUCGACUUGCGUCUGCGGCUGCCACACUGGCAUCCAACACGUCCGCGCAGCCGUUGCCCAUCGCGGGGUCGUCAAGUCGCCGUUGUAUCAUGGAGGACAGCUUCACCACCGCGCGGACGACCACAAACGCUGUGCUAAACGAUAACUUUACCAAGACUACUGGGUCGCUCUCGGGGCACGCGUCGAAUCUGUCGCUGGUGCAUUUGCUUGCCUGGUUUCUGCUUUUCGUCACCAUAACGGUGACGACGGUGGCCUUCCUCAACUACUGCCUGCGCAGCAAGCACGGCUCCGCUUAUUCCACCGAGACGGGCUAUGGUGACGAGGAGAUGUGCGGCAAGGGCGCUGUACCGUUCUCGAUUUCUACUCAGAGCGUUCAUGCAGAGGGCCUAAGUGGGACGCCAUCGUCGUCGAGCCGCCUGCUCGCCUCCCGCGGCAACCUCGCCCGGCAGCAGUUUUUGGGGUCGCGCAAGACGGGCAGCAAUCCAAAGUGCUACGGCGCUACAGCCUCCACAUCUCCCGCCAAUUGACGGUGUCUUGUAUGGGCCGGGUUAGGCGCUCAUGUGUGUGCGUGUCAGCUGACAAAUAAGGCUCUCGUUGUUUGGUGGUUGCGUACCUCAUGCUUAUUGAUAGGUGAUGCGUUCCUGUUCCGAUCCCUCAUUCUUUGCCCGUGAUACGGUUACCGAUUCUUUUUCUUUUUUUUUGCUCGUCCUCGCUUCCUCAUUCGAUAUGGCCGGCACGCCUUGGUGGGUUCCCUUGUGCUUCCCUGUGGGAGAGCCCGUGUGCGGAUAUGUGCGUCUGUGUCGCGCUUCUCUGUACGACAGAGGACGUGAGUGCGUGCGAGUAAACGUAACCUUGACUCGAGAGAAGCCUUAUCGAGGGCUGUGGAUGGGACACCUCAGAGAACAGAAAAGGGGGUAGGAACGUUUGUGGGACAUUUUCGUCUGUUUGUAACCGUGUUGGCACACAUUUAGGGCGCACAUGUCACCCACUUUCUCUCUCGGUGUGGCUGCCGUCCGUCUUCACCAUCACUUGGCUACGUUUGUCCAGUGCAGGUGUCGCAGUAGCUGUCACGACAGCACAGGUAAGGAAGGGCCGAGAGUACGGCCACCGCUGCGCCGACGGAAGAUCGAAGACAGAGAGGAGCAUGGAAAAAGAGAACGAGGAAGGGAUCUCCUACCCAGAACAGGAAGAUUUGAGGAGCAGUAUCCGCGCAGCGUCUCUGCUCUCUCUCUCUCUGUAUGUGUUUUCCUGUACACCCCAUCCCCUGCUCUUCUUCUUUUUUGCCCAAACGCAG